GCAGACACAUUCCAGCCAAUCAGCAGCAGACCCUCCCUCCCAGACCCUCCCACCUCCUGGACAGCAUCCAUUUUACAUUCAUUGUGAAGCUGCAUUCUUAGUGAGCUGUCCAGGAGGUGGGAGGGUCUGAGAGGGAGUGUCUGCUGCUGAUUGGCUGGAAUGUGUCUG
rnacentral:miRNA from 1 species